GAUAAACGCUUGCGGCGUGCAUCAAACAUGCAAGUCGAACGCUCAGUCUUCGGACUGGGAGUGGCAGACGGCUGAGGAACACGUCGGUGACCUAUCGUAGUGUGGGGAAUAUACCGCCGAAAGGUGGGGCAAUACCGCAUGUGCUCGGGCAACCGAGGAAAGCUCGUAAGGGCGCACAACGAGGGGCCGGCGGGCGAUUAGCUAGUUGGUGGGGUAAGAGCUUACCAAGGCAAUGAUCGCUAGCGGGUCUGAGAGGAUGACCCGCCAGACUGGGACGGAGGAACGGCCCAGACACCUACGGGUGGCAGCAGUUGGGAAUUUUGCGCAAUGGCCGAAAGGCUGACGCAGCAACGCCGCGUGGAGGACGACGCCUUUCGGGGUGUAAACUCCUUUUCUCCGGGACGAUAAUGACGGUACCGGGGGAAGAAGCUUCGGCUAAAUAAGUGCCAGCAGCCGCGGUAAUACGUAGGAGGCAAGCGUUUUCCGGAUUUAUUGGGCGUAAAGCGUGCGCAGGUGGUGCAGGAAGUGAUGUGUGAAAGUUCCUGGCUUAACUGAGAGAGGCCAUGUCAAACUCCUGGACUUGAGGGUCGGAGAAGCAGACGGAAUUCCGGGUGGAGUAGUAAUAUGCGUAGAGAUCCGGAGGAACACCAGUGGCGUAAGCGUUUUGCUAGACGAUGCCUGACGCUGAGGCACGAAAGCGUGGGGAGCGAACCGGAUUAGAUACCCGGUUAGUCCACGCGGUAAACGAUGGCUACUAGGUGUUGGGGUUAUCGACCCCUCCAGCGCCGGCGUUAAACACAGUAAGUUGCCCGCCAGGGAGUACGGGCGCAAGCCUAAACUCAAAGGAAUUGACGGGGACCCGCACAAGCAAGCGGAGCGUGUGGUUUAAUUCGAUGCAACGCGAAGAACCUUACCAGGACUUGACAUGGCACUGUAAGACCCAGAGAUGGGUGCCCCCGCAAGGGCAGUGUCACAGAUGCUGCAUGGCUGUCGUCAGCUCGUGCCGUAAGGUGUUGGGUUAAGUCCCGCAUCGAGCGCAACCCCUGGGUCGUGUUAAGAUUCACGACCGACAGCCCCGAACAACGGGGAGGAAGGUGGGGAUGACGUCAAGUCAGCACGGCUCUUACGUCCUGGGCGACACACACNGCUACAAUGGGGUGAAACAAGGGGCAGCCAACCCGCGAGGGGGAGCGAAUCCCGCCAAAGCACCCCGUAGUGCAGAUUGCAGGCUUGCAACUCGCCUGCAUGAAGAUGGAGUUGCUAGAACCGGGGGUCAAGCACACCCCGGUGAAUAUGUUCCCGGGUCUUGACACACCGCCCGUCAAGUCAUGGGAGCCGGCACCACCUGAAGCCGG
rnacentral:rRNA from 1 species